UGUUAAAAUUUUCAUCAAUUUCCAUUGUUAAAUACUGCAUGCCACGUGUACCUUAUUUAGAUGCAUAGGGACUAGUUUUUAACAGUAGGAAUAGAUGAAAUUUUUAAUA
rfam:Gossypium raimondii Chr03_contig_176, whole genome shotgun sequence.